rnacentral:lncRNA from 1 species
AAUUCAAACAACAUUACUAAUCAGAAGACGGGUGCCGGAAUCAUCCGUAAGAUACCGGGUUGGAUACGAAAAGGUGCAAAACCAGGAGGCAAAGUCGCCGGCAAAGCUUGUAAAAUUUGCUCAUGUAAAUACCAGAUUUGCAGCAAAUGUCCUAAAUGUCAUGACUAAAGUUAGGCCUUGAGACUAUGUACUUGUGCUGGUGUGAGUUUAAUUUUGAGAGUAAAGGGAAAGUUAUGAAUAGCCUAAUAUAAUUCUAUUACUAUGUUUUCUUAGUAAUUCUUAUUGUUGAAACUUGGAACAGGUCUUUGGGUCAAAAUGUACCUCUUGUCUUGUAGUCUUUCAACUGUAUAGUAUUGUACUGUAUUUUUCUUUAGCCACUUGAUAUCAAAUCCGAUUAAAUGUAAUUUGCGUUGCAUAUGUUUUACCACAGUCAGACCUUUCUAUAACAACAUUCGUAUAUAACAGCCUUUCAUUAUAAAAAUCAAUUUUUUCUUGGAAUCGAUUUUUUAUGUUAUGCUAUAAUAUAUGUUUUCUUUAACAGCACUUCACUAUAGCAGCAAAAAAAUAUCGAAACAAACGAGAUUGUUAUCGAUGGGUUUGACUGUACAAGGAAACGGGUUCUUAUAAAAAGGUUUAUCAUUUUUAGAGUUCGAACCUAAGAUCUUUGAUUAAGUUGGGUAUAGAAAUAACCUUUAUCCGUAGUAUAUAUACCGGGAUCUUGUAUCAGCGAUUAUAUAAUAAUUACUUGAUCCCAAAGACAUUAUAGGAGCUUAAUUUGGAAGAGCAAUUUGCUCGACAGAUAAAUUAAUUUCUGUCUCCUUGCCCUCUCUUACAAUAAUGGGGCGGUAGUUGAUUAAGCCAUAUUCAAUAUUUACAGCAAAGAUUACAUAUAGGAUACCUCUAACAUGAAUCCAGCACUCCUUUACAAGCUAAUUAUUAAUUUUGCCUUGAACAGUAUAAAGUUUAAUCCGAAUACUAUUCCGUAAUCAUAUAUUAGUCUCAUAGAUAUACUAUUCCGCAAAUUUAACCCCUUUUUAUAAUGAACAUUGUUAAUCAGUAACUUGUGCAAUAUAAUGCCCUUUUACAGUCACAGAUCUCUCUCCUAGUAGGGUUAAAAAAAACAAAGAAGAGAAAUGGCAAUGCAAAGAUGAGAGAAAGCACAGUCACCUGCUUUUUGCGGAUGACCUUAUACUAUUCGCUCGUGCUGACCUAGACAAUGCCAACACUAUCAUUAAUAUAUUCAACUCUCUCCACAUCCAAUCAGCAAAAAAUUUAUUUCUCUAAAUCAAAACUUUUGUUUUUCAAAAACGUACCGCUCGACACUCAAGAAUGCCUUACCAGUGCCCUAAACAUCCGCAAGGCUACCAACUUUGGUAAAUAUCUAGGAUUCCACCUAACUAACAAUUCCCCCAAAGGCAAAGACUAUCAAUUCAUAAUUAAUAAAAUGAAUAACAAGCUCACAGGAUGGAAAGCAAAACUCUCAACAUGGCAUGUAGAACUACCCUCAUACACUCUAUACUAGCCACAAUUCCAAACUGUUCCAUGCAAAAUAACCUACUGCCAAUCUCUGCUAGGAACCACAUAGAUCGAAUCCAACAAAACUUCCCAUGGGGUUCAACUACAGAAAAAAGAAAA